rnacentral:misc_RNA from 1 species
CAGUCGACCUAGAAGAAUCGAUACUUUUGCUGUCUGCUUGAUCACCCUUCCCAAACGAUUUAUCAACACUUUCAUCGUCAAUGGAUUGAGUUUCCUCAUUGGGAUGCUCUAGAGAAGACCUCGUGAUAACAGAUGCGUUCUUAAUUAUUUCUUCUUUAAGCCAAUUAGGCACAGAAGCCUUUUUAGGGCGUUCAGAAACAUUAGAAACACCAUAAGCAUCACCUGGGAAACCUGCUGUAGGAUGAAGUGCAGUUCCUGGACCAAGAACAUAUGGCA